rnacentral:rRNA from 1 species
GACAGAGGGUGCAAACGUUGUUCGGAAUUACUGGGCGUAAAGCGCGCGUAGGUGGCCAUGUAAGUCCGCUGUGAAAGUCAAAGGCUCAACCUUUGAAAGCCGGUGGAUACUGCACGGCUAGAGUACGGAAGAGGUGCGUGGAAUUCCUGGUGUAGCGGUGAAAUGCGUAGAUAUCAGGAGGAACACCUGUGGCGAAAGCGGCGCACUGGACCACAACUGACGCUGAGGCGCGAAAGCUAGGGGAGCAAACAGG